rnacentral:rRNA from 1 species
GAUGAACGCUAGCGACAGGCUUAACACAUGCAAGUCGAGGGGCAGCAUAGAAGUAGCAAUACUUUGGUGGCGACCGGCGCACGGGUGAGUAACGCGUAUGCAACCUACCUAUCAGAGGGGAAUAACCCGGCGAAAAGUCAGACUAAUACCGCAUAAAACAGGGGCGCCGCAUGGUGAUAUUUGUUAAAGAAAUUCGCUGAUAGAUGGGCAUGCGUUCCAUUAGGUAGUUGGUGAGGUAACGGCUCACCAAGCCGACGAUGGAUAGGGGAACUGAGAGGUUGGUCCCCCACACUGGUACUGAGACACGGACCAGACUCCUACGGGAGGCAGCAGUGAGGAAUAUUGGUCAAUGGGCGAGAGCCUGAACCAGCCAAGUCGCGUGAAGGAAGAAGGAUCUAUGGUUCGUAAACUUCUUUUGCAGGGGAAUAAAGUGCAGGACGUGUCCUGUUUUGUAUGUACCCUGAGAAUAAGGAUCGGCUAACUCCGUGCCAGCAGCCGCGGUAAUACGGAGGAUCCGAGCGUUAUCCGGAUUUAUUGGGUUUAAAGGGUGCGUAGGUGGUUUGAUAAGUCAGCGGUGAAAGUUUGCAGCUUAACUGUAAAAAUGCCGUUGAAACUGUCGGACUUGAGUGUAAAUGAGGUAGGCGGAAUGCGUGGUGUAGCGGUGAAAUGCAUAGAUAUCACGCAGAACUCCGAUUGCGAAGGCAGCUUACUAAGCUACAACUGACACUGAAGCACGAAAGCGUGGGGAUCAAACAGGAUUAGAUACCCUGGUAGUCCACGCAGUAAACGAUGAUUACUAGCUGUUUGCGAUACACAGUAAGCGGCACAGCGAAAGCGUUAAGUAAUCCACCUGGG